rnacentral:lncRNA from 1 species
AUGCUCUCUUUUUAUUGGAUGAAUGUAUUAGUCACAAGGCAUAAAAAGUACUGCCUCUGCUUGCUUUGCAUUGAUGAAUUAACAGAUGUGCCUGGUUUGAAGAAACAGAUUCAUUUCUUGAUGGGAAGAAAAAUUUUGUUUAGUUUUUCACUUAUUUUUUUAUGUACCGGAUUUUCACUAACUUUGGACCAGAUACUUGCCAGGAAGAAUGUAAGUUUCAUCUCUCGAACAUCUCCAAAUAAAGAAGUGGUUGUAAACAGUGAUCGACAGAAUAGUGGAGAUAUGAAGCCAGUGCAGAAUUUCACAGUGAUACCAAUCACACAGGCUCUCAACUAUAAUCUGAGCAGACGUUUAGAAAAAGAACCUCGGAAUGCAUUCAGCCAUCAUAGCCCAGUUAAUGUCUCCAUGGAUGGAAUUCCCUGCAUUCUGUUUUGGGCCAAAAGAAUAACAAUUAAAUUUAAGAAUCAGACCUGGCUGGACCUUACAGAUGAAGCUAUUGGCCAGAAGGCAACAGUGGAUGCUGGCAACUCAAAGUGCAGUGAAGAAAGUGCCAUGUUGUCUCUGAAGUUUGGUGAUGCUGAAAAUCCCAGAGGUCUUGAUAUAAGAUUCGCCCUUACCAGUUACAAGUUGUCUAUCCAGAGAUGGUAUAGUUUGCACCGAGUCGAGGUUAUUUUUAAUAACUCAAUUCAAGCAACUUUUAAUGCAACUGGCAUUUACGCUCCGUCAAGUUACUCCUACCAUUGCCAGCGCGUCAGCAGCCUGCAGGCGGACGAUGCCCUCUUGUUGCCCAGCGACACCAGUGACAUGUCAAGCCUGUGGGAGGUCACUUUUGUUGAUUUCCAGAUCCAAGGCUUUCCCAUCAAGGGGGGACAGUUUGCCAAGGCCCGAGAUUGCACCUCUUCCUUCUCGCCAGCCAUUCUGAUCGGCCUGGCGAUGUCCCUGCUGCUGCUGUUGGUGCUGGCCUACGCCCUGCACAUGCUCAUCUACCUGCGCUAUCUGGACCGGCACUAUGAUCUCAUCGCCUCCCCGGCCCACUUCCCCCAGCCGACAGCUCAAGACUCGGCAGAAGAGAAGGAGCUGCUGAGGAGCCAGGGAGCUGAAUGCUAUGAACUGAGAAGCCAACAGAUCUGCAAAAUUUAUGUUUAA